CAUUUACAUGGGCAACCUUUGUCUUAAUCAAAAUACAAUCAUUCUAAACGUAGUGUUUAUAUGACCGGAUGAAUGAAGUAAGUGGUGGUGACUGACACUUGUGAUCACCAAUCAGCAAAGAGUUUUUUUUUUCUAUUUUAGAGCUGGUUAGUUGCAGCUUGUGAUGCGUCACGUCCAGAGUCUCCCCUUUCUGUUGGUUUUGAGGGAGGCUUUAGUUGCUUCAGUAGAAGCUUUGUUUGGGGCUUGACGAUUGGCAGGUGGAGUAAUGUGCAGUUCCCUGUACUUCAGUUUAGCAGCGGGUUAUAUGAAGGCUGUGUAUCCUGGCCUGUGAACAGAUUAUAGAGCACAUUAUUCUUGUUUGGAUUCUCCCUUUUGUUCUGGUCGAUUAUUGUUGCAGCUCUGUCGUUUUUCUGCUGUCGUGCUGAAAGAAUGCUGUUACCUUGCAACUAAUAAAGGGAUUGCUGCUAUUUUUUUAUUUCUUUGAUUUCUAGUUAAUUUUCUUCGGGAUGGAGGAUUGUUUAUUUGAUGACCAGAGCUGGCGUACAGAAUUCGUGGAAGACAGAAUCCGCGUAGAGCAACCGCGUAGUUUGAACUGAGUUGUUUUUUUUUUUUUCAUCUUUUUUCUUUUGAAAAUUUGUGUAUUAUUGAUUGUGAAGUAUGUUGUUGAUUUUUUUUUUUUUUUACCUAGCAUUGUUUGUUUUAUGCUGAAACUGUAACAUAAUUUCACUGUGAUUUUUAUUUACUUCUGUUUAUAAUUUUUUUUUGUUGUGUAAAUUAGUCUUUAUGUAACAUGUUUUCCUUUGGUUGUUUUUCUUUUUCUGUGUUUAUUCUUUGAAUUCUUUGCCAGUCACUGCCUCUUUAACAGUGAGUAUUUUAUAUAUAUAUAUAU